CAAGACAAAGGUAUAAUACGAAGAAACAUCUCAAGAGAAAGUGGAGGAAAAAGAGCUGUGUCUUCCUAGAAGUACAGUGAUACAAAUUGCUAAUGCGUUCACCUCAGAAACACUGGAAGCGGGAUACCAGGGAAUAUUAUUAAAAUGAUAAUCUGGACCCAGAAGGGAUCAACCGAGAAUGCUGCAUCCAGCAAUAAAAUGCCUUGAUGACGAUCAAUGUUGGACAUGUGCAUAUUGUGCACUGCCCCAAACAGAGAAACCAGAAACUGCCAGACUUUGGAAUGAGCAGCCUUAUGUAACAAGAGACGUGACCCAAAGGAAUUACAUAGAAGAAGAAUAGAAGAAGGGAACUUUCUGCAGCCCACGUAAUGUAGAAUCCAGCAAUUCGCAAAUGCAGAUAGAUGUAAAUGCAAAAUAUUUUCUUGAUCAAAUUUCUAUGUCUUUUUGAAUGAGAGUUGACUGCUUGAAGCAGAAUGAUAGCACUAUGUUUAAGUUUAGCAUAUGUAGAGGUAACAGUUUGAACAGGUAGCAUAAAUCAUACAGGUAACAAUUGGAAGUGUACCACUGUGUCUUAUCUCAUGCACGAUGGUAUGUAAUAUUCAUAAAAGGUUACUGUGUGGGUUCAAAGGGAUAUUGCAAAUCCUAGAGCAAUCACAAAAUUUUGACCUCUGAGGUUUAUGUUAUAAUAAGAAUAUUCCACGCAUUCCAAAGCGGGAAGCCAUGGAAGAAAAAGAAGUUUUUCAAGAGCUCGGGCUCUUAUACAUCCAGAUACGGAUUAAACCAGCUUCCUGGAAUGGAGGGUCUGAGGUUGAGACUAGGUCACAAUUGUAGAGUCUCUAGAGAGAGUGUGUUGGAUCUCCAUGGCCCGGAAUAUAUUUCCCAUUUUCUCAGGCAGCCACAGGUCAUGAAUGUGAGAGGUUGGAGCAACGUUGUUGGGAGGCAUAAGGAAGAGCGAAUGCUUCAAGAUCCCUGCAGCCCAAACUCCUCCCCUGCUUUGCCCCCUUCUUCAUUGCUUUCUGCUCCUCCGUAGCUGUCCAACCUCUUCAGAUCUCUUAGUCUACCCUGCCGUCUUCCUUGAUGCCAUGGGUCCCACUGUUCUUUCAACUCAUUCGCUUUCCCUCAGUCCCGGAGUGGCUGCGGCCAGCAGAGGACAGAUUGAGAGCAAGAGAGAAGGUCCUGCCCAGGAACCCAUUCUUGAGAUACUGCAUUCUGACCUGGAGAAAAUUUUUCAGGGCAGCUUUGAGAAGUCGUGCAGAAAGAAAUCCACGUGACCCAUGUGAUAUGAGAAUGACAGACAGUAAUAGUAUUUGCACAAUGCGUUUCCAUGUGAAACGUAGAGCCUUUUCAUUAUGUUUUGAGUACAUAGUAUGUGAAGGUUAGCCUGGAAAGGCUGUCCUUCUGGAUGCCAUGUUUUCUCAGAAGAACUACAUGUUAGUUGCAACUCCCACUUUAGAAUAUGAAGCCCUACCGAGAGAGAUAGGCAGAACUAGACAGAUACAGAUACUUUUGUGUGUGAAUCAACAAUGGCACAAUACAGGCGUCAAAACGCAUACCAGUUAUUCCAGAGAGAUGGAUUGGGCAGCAGGUAGAAGGAGAAUAGUCUGAUCAUGUUUUGGCCACAUGUAUGCGUUAUCUCAGUGUCUCUAGGAAGUGUUUGCUCCUUUAGAUUUACAAAAAUAGUAUAAUCUAUUAAGUAUGAGAAAUGUGCAGAGAGGAUUAGUGAUUGAGAGCCAUUCGUGCUUGUGGUAACCAUAUGGUAUUUUUAAUGGGUAUAUUUGAAAGGCACCAGGAACAUCCUUGUUGCAGCACAAAGGAGCGGGUGUGGGGUGCCCCUGCAUAGUGUCCCACCUCUUGUGACAUGUAUGGUUUUGGAAUUUCCAGUGGCUUGAUCAGGAACUACUGCAGGAAUCCAGAUCCUGUGGCAGCCCCUUAUUGUUAUACGAUGGAUCCCAAUGUCAGGUGGGAAUACUGCAACCUGACACAAUGCUCAGAUGCAGAAGGGACUGCCAUCGCACCUCCAAAUGUCACCCCGGUUCCAAGCCUAGAGGCUCCUUCCGAACAAGCACCGACCGAGCAAAGGCCUGGGGUGCAGGAGUGCUACCAUGGUAAUGGACAGAGCACGAGGCACAUACUUCACCACUGUCACAGGAAGGACCUGCCAAGCUUGGUCAUCUAUGACUCACACUCUCAUAUUCAUGACACCGCACCUCAGUCGAUUCCCAGAAAACUACCCAAAUGGUGGCUUGAUCAAGAACUACUGCAGGAAUCCAGAUCCUGUGGCAGCCCCUUAUUGUUAUACUACGGAUCCCAAAUGUCAGGUGGGAGUACUGCAACCUGACACAAUGCUCAGACGCAGAAGGGACUGCUGUCACAUCUCCGAUCAAGGUCACUCCCGGUUCCAGCCCAGAGGCUCCUUCCCAGCAAGCACCAACUGAGCAAAAGCCUGGGGUGCAGGAGUGCUACCACGGUAAUGGGCAGAGCUAUCGAGGCACAUACUUCUACCACUGUGACAUGGGAAGAACUACAAGUCAUCAUCUAUGACACCGCACUCAGUCGGACUUCAGAAAACUACCCAAAUGGUGGUGACCUGCAGAACUACUGCAGGAAUCCCGAUCCUGUGGCAGCCCCUCAUUGUUAUAAUGAUGGAUCCCAAUGUCAGGUGGGAGUACUGCAACCUGACACAAUGCUCAGACGCAGAAGGGACUGCUGUCACAUCUCCGACUGUCACCCCGGUUCCAAGCCUAGAGGCUCCUUCUGAGCAAGCACUGACUGAGCAAAGGCCCGGGUGCAGGAGGCUACACGGUAAUGGAUAGAGUUAUCAGGCACAUACUUCACCACUGUGACAGGAAGAACCUGCCAAGCUUGGUCAUCUAUGACACCACACUUGCUAGUCGGAUUCCCAGAAAACUACCUCCAAAUGGGUUUGAUCAGGAACUACUGCAGGAAUCCUGAUCCUGUGGCAGCCCUCAUUGUUAUACGAUGGAUCCCAAUGUCAGGUGGGAGUACUGCAACUUGAUGACAAUGCUCAGGACGCAGAAGGGACUGCUGUCACAUCUCCGACUGUCACCCCGGUUCCAAGCCUAGAGGCUCCUCCCGAGCAAGCACCGACAGAGCAAAGGCCUGGGUGCAGAGAGGCACACGGUAAUGGACAGAGUUAUCGAGGCACAUACUUCACCACUGUGACAGGAAGAACCUGCCAAGCUUGGUCAUCUAUGACACCGCACCUCAUAGUCGGACUUUCAGAAAACUACCCAAAUGGUGGCUUGAUCAGGAACUACUGCAGGAAUCCAGAUCCUGUGGCAGCCCCUUAUUGUUAUACGAUGGAUUCCAAUGUCAGGGUGGGAAUACUGCAACCUGACACAAUGCUCAGAUGCAGAAGGGACUGCCAUCGCACCUCCAAAUGUCACCCCGGUCUCCAAGCCCAGAGGCUCCUUCCGAACAAGCACCGACUGAGCAAAGGCCUGGGGUGCAGGAGUGCUACUACGGUAAUGGACAGAGUUAUCGAGGCACACAUUUCACCACCGUGACAGGAAGAAAUUACAAGCUUGGUCGCUCAUGACACCGCACUCAGUUUGACCUCAGAAAACUACCCAAAUGGUGGCUUGAUCAGGAACUACUGCAGGAAUCCAGAUCCUGUGGCAGCCCCCUUUAUUGUUAUACGAUGGAUCCCAAUGUUGAUGGGAGUACUGCAAUCUGACACAAUGCUCAGGAUGCAGAAGGAUUGCUGUCGCACCUCCGAAUGUCACCCCGAGAUACUCAUUGAUUUCUUCUAUUUCUUCAGCACCGAAUUUCGAGCAAAGGCCUGGGGUGCAGGAGUGCUACUACGGUAAUGGACAGAGUUAUCGAGGCACAUACUUCACCACUGUGACAGGAAGAACCUGCUAAGCUUGGUCUGCCAGAAAUAAGACCUGGUUUGUGGAGGAAAGGAGCUCUACAACACGCAUAGAAGUCCCCUCCAGUUGUUGGCCUGACAUGACGCUGCAUGUGCACAGACAAUGGUUCCACAAGACACGGGAAGCCAUGGAAGAAAAAGAAGUCUUUGAAGAGCUCGGGCUCUUAUACAUCCAGUUGCUGAUUGAACCAGCUUCCUGGAAUGGAGGGUCUGAGAGGCCUCUGAACAAGGUAAGGAGCCUGUGGCCAGACUUCUACGCACCUCUAGACUCUGGGAUGAAAGCUGCGGAAAUUCCCAGUGGUGCGGCAGUUUUCAAUGGUCCACAGAUGCUUGGAGUGUUGACUGCUGAGUUCUGCCAUGUAGGAGAAGCCUGCGUGCACCUCUGGGAACUAGGGAGGAUUUCUGGUACAAAUAGUUAUCGAGGCACAUAUUUCACCACUGACAGGAAGAACUCCGCUGCUUGGUCAUCUAUGACACCGCACUCUCAUAGUCGGACUCCCAGAAAACUACCCAAAUGGUGGCUUGAUCAGGAACUACUGCAGGAAUCCAGAUCCUGUGGCAGCCCCUUAUUGUUAUACGAUGGAUCCCAAUGUCAGGUGUGGGAGUACUGCAACCUGGACACAAUGCUCGAUGCAGAAGGGACUGCCGCCUGACCUCCGAAUGUCACCCCGGUUCCAAGCCUAGAGGCUCCUUCAGAACAAGCACCGACUGAGCAAAGGCCUGGGUGUCCAGGAGGCACACGGUAACUGACAGAGUUAUCGAGGCACAUACUUCACCACUAAUGUGGUGGAUGAACACUGCCUUCAGUACCAGUGGCCUGAAGGGAUACAGGUUCGCAGCAAGAGAAGAGCCAAGGCAGGAAGGCAGAUGAGAUGGCUUGAUCAGAACUACUGCAGGAAUCCAGAUCCCAAAGUGCGCCCUUAUUGUUAUACGAUGGAUCCCAAUGCUAGGUGGGAGUACUGCAACCUGACACAAUGCUCAGACGCAGAAGGGACUGCCAUCACACCUCUGACUGUUACCCUGUUCCAAGCCCAGAGGCUCCUUCCGGAGCAAGCACCGACUGAGCAAAGGCCUGGGGUGCAGGAGUGCUACCACGGUAAUGGACAGAGUUAUCGAGGCACAUACUUCACCACUGUGACAGGAAGAACCUGCCAAGCUUGGUCAUCUAUGACACCACACUCUCAUAGUCGGACCCCAGAAAACUACCCAAAUGGUGACUUGAUCAGGAACUACUGCAGGAAUCCCGAUCCUGUGGCAGCCCCUUAUUGUUAUACGAUGGAUCCCAAUGUCAGGUGGGAGUACUGCAACUUGACACAAUGCUCAGACGCAGAAGGGACUGCUGUCACAUCUCCGACUGUCACCCCGGUUCCAAGCCUAGAGGCUCCUUCUGAGCAAGCACCGACCAAGCAAAGGCCUGGGGUGCAGGAGUGCUACCACGGUAAUGGACAGAGUUAUCGAGGCACAUACUUCACCACUGUGACAGGAAGAACCUGCCAAGCUUGGUCAUCUAUGACACCGCACUCUCAUAGUCGGACCCCAGAAAACUACCCAAAUGGGUAUGUCUUUGUUCUUUACCGUAAGAGAAGAAAGGGACAAUUGAAGUUUCUCUUAGAAGAGACGUGCUUCCAGCUGAGUUAUCUGAACUCAACUUGUGUCAGACACAGAUGAUGCAGCAAAAUGUCUCAGGAUGAUUGCCUUGGAGCUAAGGGUCUGAGAGAAGAGAACUGUUAAGCUGCCUCUCCUUCCUCCUAGUUUUAUGGAUCAGAAGGGACAUCUGGAGGCGAGGACAUUACAUUAUGAAGAAAGUCAGAAUGGCAAAGGACCAAACACUUAGAUUAUCCUUCCACAACACCCACUAAGGGUCAGUGAAGACUUUUCAAUUGGAAUUCUGUUAUUCUGACUUCCCAUUCCUGAAGGGAAGGUUGUUUGCCUUUUCUGUCUGGGCCAAUGAGGAAAGAAUAUGUGCUUAUGUAUGGACAGGCAAAUGUAUCUCUUUCUAUAUCUAUGUGUAUUCCAACGGGGAGGGAAUCACUCGGCCCUAAGUGCCAGUGGCCUGAAGGGAUACAGGUUGGUGGCAAGAGAAGAGCCAAGGCAGGAAGGCAGAUGAGAGUGAGGAAAGAGACGGAUGCUGAAAAAUAAAAGGGACAGGUAGAUGGACAGAAGCGUGGGUCUGAGCAGCCCAUAGCCAAUUUUUUGGCCACAAGUGACUGCCAAAGACAGGGAAAAAUGGUUUCUCCAUGUGGGACAAGAGAUGUUAGAGGACCUAGAGAAUUAAGAGAGGGGCAAUGAUGAGCUCAACUGCAAAGAUGCCUUGGUUUUCUUCCUGGAUACCCUUGCUGCACUGACUAGCAAGGUGAUGGAGCCCAAGGAGACUCUAGCCAUCUUGCUGAAGGGAGGAGAGGGAUUGGAGUUUGGGAUGACUGUGGUAGCUAACAUUUUCUAGGUCUGCUACCAAUAAGACCUGGUUUGUGGAGGAAAGGAGCUCUGCAAAUACACAUAGAAGUCUCCUCCAUUUGUUGGCCUGACAUGACGCUGCAUUUGCACAGAAAAUGGUUCCACAAGAAAGUAUGGCAAGGAACAUUUACUGAGAAACAGCAAUUGCAAGAGAACAGCAAGCUCUAUAAGGAAGACGGAGCUCACAUAGCACUCUGGGAGAUCGGAGUUCUUACCAGCUAGACUAGAGAUUCCUCACAGAACACGUUGCCAGUUCAGUGGAGAUGCCAGAACAGCCUUGAUUUAAAAGUGGAAUUAGUAUAUUCCUAGAAAUCAGGCAGCUGCAGACCACCGCUUGCAUAGCUGAACAGCCAGUGUCCAAGCAUCAAAUUGGUUUCCAAGUCAAUGAACUGCUUGUGAGAGGAAAUCUCAACUCUUUUACAAGUAAACAACAACGUCAAUUGGCUCAGGUAUGAGGUAUCCGCAGAGUGAGUCCUAAAUUUAAAAUUUGACUACAUGUAGAAAAGCGUUUCGUGUCAUCCAUGACCAGCAAAUAAAUCAGGAAGUACAAGCAAGCUCAGAAAUGACAGAAAUGAUUAGAAUUGCAUGAAAAUUUGACAUAUCGGUAUGAUAACGGAUUUCAAAUGUUUAAAAAAAGAAUAUGCAACAAACCAGAUAUCAUAUCAAGAGAAAUUAACAGUAUAGAAUAGCGAAAUCAAAUUAAAGGACUAGUAUUAAAAAUGUAUGUCUUAGAUGAAAAAGUUACUGCAUGGCCUCUUGCUCAAGUUAGAUAUUUCUGAAGAAAAAAUUAACCAAAAAAGAAAUCUACAGAACCUGCAGAACUAGCUACACACACAAACCCAAAUUCAAAACACACCCGUACACGGACACAUGCAAAAACUCACAAGUUCUCUCACACACAAGGACAACCCUGAAGAAAUAGUGAAAUACGAAAUCAACAAAGCCUCACAGACAUGUAGGAAAAUAUGAAAAGAUUUUCUGCAUGUGGGAAGGAAGUCACAGAAAAGAGCAAGGGAGUUUGGAGUAGAAGCAAGUACCGGAAUCAAGAAUGGUUGAUAACUGUUCAGUUAUGAGGAACAUUGAAAAUAUCACAGUUUCAUGAAACUCUAUGGAACAAUUAGGGAAAUCGGAAGAAAAAAAAACCCAAAAAUCCUGUGUGCUGUACUUCUGUACCCACAGUUCGAAGGUAACAAGGCAAAGGCAUAAUACGAAGAAACAUCUCAGGAGAAACUGGAAGAAAAAGGGCUGUGUCUUCCUAGAAGUAGAGGGAUACAAAUUGCUAAUGGGUUCACCUCAGAAACACUGGAAGCCACACAUCAGGGAAUAUUAUUAAAAUGAUAAUCUGGAC